rnacentral:tRNA from 1 species
GCCCGGGUGGCGAAAUUGGUAGACGCACAAGACUUAAAAUCUUGCGGUAGCAAUACCGUGCCGGUUCGAUUCCGGCCCCGGGCACCA